UACAGAGGGGGCAAGCGUUGUUCGGAAUUACUGGGCGUAAAGGGCGCGUAGGCGGCCUGCUAAGUCGAACGUGAAAUCCCUGGGCUCAACCCAGGAACUGCGUCCGAUACUGGUUGGCUUGAAUCCGGGAGAGGGAUGUGGAAUUCCAGGUGUAGCGGUGAAAUGCGUAGAUAUCUGGAGGAACAUCGGUGGCGAAGGCGGCAUCCUGGACCGGUAUUGACGCUGAGGCGCGAAAGCCAGGGGAGCAAACGGG
rnacentral:rRNA from 1 species